rnacentral:rRNA from 1 species
UGCUUUACACAUGCAAGUCGAACGGCAGCGGGGGCUUCGGCCUGCCGGCGAGUGGCGAACGGGUGAGUAAUGCAUCGGAACGUGCCCAUGUCGUGGGGGAUAACGUAUCGAAAGGUACGCUAAUACCGCAUACGUCCUGAGGGAGAAAGCGGGGGACCGUAAGGCCUCGCGCGAUUGGAGCGGCCGAUGUCGGAUUAGCUAGUUGGUGAGGUAAAGGCUCACCAAGGCGACGAUCCGUAGCGGGUCUGAGAGGAUGAUCCGCCACACUGGGACUGAGACACGGCCCAGACUCCUACGGGAGGCAGCAGUGGGGAAUUUUGGACAAUGGGCGCAAGCCUGAUCCAGCCAUGCCGCGUGAGUGAAGAAGGCCUUCGGGUUGUAAAGCUCUUUCGGCCGGGAAGAAAUCGUGUUCUCUAACAUAGGACAUGGAUGACGGUACCGGACUAAGAAGCACCGGCUAACUACGUGCCAGCAGCCGCGGUAAUACGUAGGGUGCGAGCGUUAAUCGGAAUUACUGGGCGUAAAGCGUGCGCAGGCGGUUUUGUAAGACAGAUGUGAAAUCCCCGGGCUUAACCUGGGAACUGCGUUUGUGACUGCAAGGCUGGAGUACGGCAGAGGGGGGUGGAAUUCCACGUGUAGCAGUGAAAUGCGUAGAGAUGUGGAGGAACACCGAUGGCGAAGGCAGCCCCCUGGGCCUGUA